rnacentral:rRNA from 1 species
GUGAGUAAUGCCUGGGAAUAUGCCUUGAUGUGGGGGAUAACCAUUGGAAACGAUGGCUAAUACCGCAUAAUGCCUACGGGCCAAAGAGGGGGAUCUUCGGACCUCUCGCGUCAAGAUUAGCCCAGGUGGGAUUAGCUAGUUGGUGAGGUAAUGGCUCACCAAGGCGACGAUCCCUAGCUGGUCUGAGAGGAUGAUCAGCCACACUGGAACUGAGACACGGUCCAGACUCCUACGGGAGGCAGCAGUGGGGAAUAUUGCACAAUGGGCGCAAGCCUGAUGCAGCCAUGCCGCGUGUGUGAAGAAGGCCUUCGGGUUGUAAAGCACUUUCAGUCGUGACAAAGUAACCGUAGUUAAUAGCGUAAUUAUUUGACGUUAGCGACAGAAGAAGCACCGGCUAACUCCGUGCCAGCAGCCGCGGUAAUACGGAGGGUGCGAGCGUUAAUCGGAAUUACUGGGCGUAAAGCGCAUGCAGGUGGUUUGUUAAGUCAGAUGUGAAAGCC